AGAGUUUGCUUUUGGCUCAGGAUGAACGCUGGCGGCGUGCCUAAUACAUGCAAGUCGAACGCACAGCGAAAGGUGCUUGCACCUUUCAAGUGAGUGGCGAACGGGUGAGUAACACGUGGAUAACCUACCUCAAGGUUGGGGAUAACAUUUGGAAACAGAUGCUAAUACCGAAUAAAACUUCGUAUCGCAUGAUACAAGGUUAAAAGGCGCUACGGCGUCACCUAGAGAUGGAUCCGCGGUGCAUUAGUUAGUUGGUGGGGUAAAGGCCUACCAAGACAAUGAUGCAUAGCCGAGUUGAGAGACUGAUCGGCCACAUUGGGACUGAGACACGGCCCAAACUCCUACGGGAGGCUGCAGUAGGGAAUCUUCCACAAUGGGCGAAAGUCUGAUGGAGCAACGCCGCGUGUGUGAUGAAGGCUUUCGGGUCGUAAAGCACUGUUGUAUGGGAAAAACAGCUAGAGUAGGGAAUGACUUUAGUUUGACGGUACCAUACCAGAAAGGGACGGCUAAAUACGUGCCAGCAGCCGCGGUAAUACGUAUGUCCCGAGCGUUAUCCGGAUUUAUUGGGCGUAAAGCGAGCGCAGACGGUUGAUUAAGUCUGAUGUGAAAGCCCGGAGCUCAACUCCGGAAAGGCAUUGGAAACUGGUCAACUUGAGUGCAGUAGAGGUAAGUGGAACUCCAUGUGUAGCGGUGGAAUGCGUAGAUAUAUGGAAGAACACCAGCGGCGAAGGCGGCUUACUGGACUGUAACUGACGUUGAGGCUCGAAAGUGUGGGUAGCAAACAGGAUUAGAUACCCUGGUAGUCCACACCGUAAACGAUG
rnacentral:rRNA from 1 species